ACAUGCCCACAACAUAACGUUAAUGCACCAGAUCCCAUUAUAACUCCAUAGUUAAGCGCACUCGGGCUAGAGUAGUACUAGAAUGGGUGACCGCUCAGGAAAUCCUAGUGUUUUACAUGCC
rnacentral:rRNA from 1 species